rnacentral:rRNA from 1 species
UGAACGCUAGCUACAGGCUUAACACAUGCAAGUCGAGGGGAAACGACAUCGAAAGCUUGCUUUUGAUGGGCGUCGACCGGCGCACGGGUGAGUAACGCGUAUCCAACCUGCCCAUCACUUGGGGAUAACCUUGCGAAAGUAAGACUAAUACCCAAUGACGUCUCUAGAAGACAUCCGAAAGAGAUUAAAGAUUUAUCGGUGAUGGAUGGGGAUGCGUCUGAUUAGCUUGUUGGCGGGGUAACGGCCCACCAAGGCGACGAUCAGUAGGGGUUCUGAGAGGAAGGUCCCCCACAUUGGAACUGAGACACGGUCCAAACUCCUACGGGAGGCAGCAGUGAGGAAUAUUGGUCAAUGGGCGAGAGCCUGAACCAGCCAAGUAGCGUGCAGGAUGACGGCCCUAUGGGUUGUAAACUGCUUUUAUAAGGGAAUAAAGUGAGUCUCGUGAGACUUUUUGCAUGUACCUUAUGAAUAAGGACCGGCUAAUUCCGUGCCAGCAGCCGCGGUAAUACGGAAGGUCCGGGCGUUAUCCAGAUUUAUUGGGUUUAAAGGGAGCGUAGGCCGGAGAUUAAGCGUGUUGUGAAAUGUAGACGCUCAACGUCUGCACUGCAGCGCGAACUGGUUUCCUUGAGUACGCACAAAGUGGGCGGAAUUCGUGGUGUAGCGGUGAAAUGCUUAGAUAUCACGAAGAACUCCGAUUGCGAAGGCAGCUCACUGGAGCGCAACUGACGCUGAAGCUCGAAAGUGCGGGUAUCGAACAGGAUUAGAUACCCUGGUAGUCCGCACGGUAAACGAUGGAUGCCCGCUGUUGGUCUGAAUAGGUCAGCGGCCAAGCGAAAGCAUUAAGCAUCCCACCUGGGGAGUACGCCGGCAACGGUGAAACUCAAAGGAAUUGACG